rnacentral:misc_RNA from 1 species
AAAGUCGUAACAAGGUUUCCGUAGGUGAACCUGCGGAAGGAUCAUUGAAAAAUGGCCCCGGGGUGGGGGGGGUGGAGUAAUUCUUCACCUCUCUCGCCCGUCGGGAAGCGUGCGGGUUUAACCACCCCACGUCCGAGAAACGCCACGGGUUGCCGGGUGGGGUUGAGGUAACUGCCUCUCUCGCCUGGCAGCCCGUGGGGGCGGCGCGUGGGCCUUCGGUUCGUUCCGUAGGCCCCGCCGCUCUCCCGCUCUCUGCUUUGCUUGAUACCUGCCUGAUGCACAGCGGGGGUUGCGGGUUGCGAGAGAUGGGUCCGAAAGGCCCCACCUCUCUCUCCCCCCGACCCUUCGCCGUUUUAAAUUAAAACAACUUUUAACAAUGGAUCUCUUGGCUCUC